GAUGAACGCUGGCGGCGUGCCUAAUACAUGCAAGUCGAGCGAAUGGAUUAAGAGCUUGCUCUUAUGAAGUUAGCGGCGGACGGGUGAGUAACACGUGGGUAACCUGCCCAUAAGACUGGGAUAACUCCGGGAAACCGGGGCUAAUACCGGAUAACAUUUUGAACCGCAUGGUUCGAAAUUGAAAGGCGGCUUCGGCUGUCACUUAUGGAUGGACCCGCGUCGCAUUAGCUAGUUGGUGAGGUAACGGCCCACCAAGGCAACGAUGCGUAGCCGACCUGAGAGGGUGAUCGGCCACGCUGGGACUGAGACACGGCCCAGACUCCUACGGGAGGCAGCAGUAGGGAAUCUUCCGCAAUGGACGAAAGUCUGACGGUGCAACGCCGCGUGAGUGAUGAAGGCUUUCGGGUCGUAAAACUCUGUUGUUAGGGAAGAACAAGUGCUAGUUGAAUAAGCUGGCACCUUGACGGUACCUAACCAGAAAGCCACGGCUAACUACGUGCCAGCCGCCGCGGUAA
rnacentral:rRNA from 1 species